UAUGAUUUGGGCUACACACGUGCUACAAUGGACAAUACAAAGGGCAGCGAAACCGCGAGGUCAAGCAAAUCCCAUAAAGUUGUUCUCAGUUCGGAUUGUAGUCUGCAACUCGACUAUAUGAAGCUGGAAUCGCUAGUAAUCGUAGAUCAGCAUGCUACGGUGAAUACGUUCCCGGGUCUUGUACACACCGCCCGUCACACCACGAGAGUUUGUAACACCCGAAGCCGGUGGAGUAACCAUUUGGAGCUAGCCGUCGAAGGUGGGACAAAUGAUUGGGGUGAAGUCGUAACAAGGUAGCCGUAUCGGAAGGUGCGGCUGGAUCACCUCCUUU
rnacentral:rRNA from 1 species